rnacentral:rRNA from 1 species
AUUGAACGCUGGCGGCAUGCCUUACACAUGCAAGUCGAACGGUAACAGGUUAAGCUGACGAGUGGCGAACGGGUGAGUAAUACAUCGGAACGUGCCCAGUAGUGGGGGAUAGCCUGGCGAAAGCCGGAUUAAUACCGCAUACGACCUAAGGGUGAAAGGGGGGGAUUGCAAGACCUCUCGCUAUUGGAGCGGCCGAUGUCAGAUUAGCUAGUUGGUGGGGUAAAAGCUCACCAAGGCGACGAUCUGUAGCUGGUCUGAGAGGACGACCAGCCACACUGGGACUGAGACACGGCCCAGACUCCUACGGGAGGCAGCAGUGGGGAAUUUUGGACAAUGGGCGCAAGCCUGAUCCAGCCAUGCCGCGUGCGGGAAGAAGGCCUUCGGGUUGUAAACCGCUUUUGUCAGGGAAGAAAUCCUUUGGGUUAAUACCUCGGGGGGAUGACGGUACCUGAAGAAUAAGCACCGGCUAACUACGUG